UACGGGGGGGACAAGCGUUGUCCGGAUUUACUGGGCGUAAAGAGCGCGCAGGCGGUCGAUCAAGUCGAGUGUGAAAGCCCCCGGCUCAACUGGGGAGGGUCAUUCGAUACUGAUCGACUCGAAGGCAGGAGAGGGUAGUGGAAUUCCCGGUGUAGUGGUGAAAUGCGUAGAUAUCGGGAGGAACACCAGUGGCGAAGGCGACUACCUGGCCUGUUCUUGACGCUGAGGCGCGAAAGCUAGGGGAGCAAACGGG
rnacentral:rRNA from 1 species